UGAGGUGGUCUGCUAUCACUGUGAAGUGAAAUGAGUCAGUGGAAACAGGAUGUUUUCUUUUCAGUGAGUGGUGAAAAAGGCCGCUGGACAACAGGAGUCAAUUCUUUUGACACAUCGUCAGUGCAUGAAAUAAUGGACUAAAUGGGGGUCAGCAUGCUGUAAACAAACUUCCAGAAAGAUCUUUGCAGUGCCUGAACACCAUAUGGAGCCACUACAAGUCAACACAAAGAGGCGUUGAGGUCUUUAAACCAUGGUGGAAACGCACACAACAGUGGGUUGAAGGAACCUUUUAGUUUCUUGAAAAGAGAUCUGGGGACUUUUGGUCGAAACACGGCUUUUAAGACAUUACCCUGGCAAAAUUAACGAACUAAGCAAGUACAUAGUGUUGGCUGUGUA